rnacentral:rRNA from 1 species
UCCCAAGGGUAUGGCUGUUCGCCAUUUAAAGUGGUACGCGAGCUGGGUUUAGAACGUCGUGAGACAGUUCGGUCCCUAUCUGCCGUGGGCGCUGGAGAAUUGAGGGGGGCUGCUCCUAGUACGAGAGGACCGGAGUGGACGCAUCACUGGUGUUCGGGUUGUCAUGCCAAUGGCACUGCCCGGUAGCUAAAUGCGGAAGAGAUAAGUGCUGAAAGCAUCUAAGCACGAAACUUGCCCCGAGAUGAGUUCUCCCUGACUCCUUGAGAGUCCUGAAGGAACGUUGAAGACGACGACGUUGAUAGGCCGGGUGUGUAAGCGCAGCGAUGCGUUGAGCUAACCGGUACUAAUGAACCGUGAGGCUUAACCUU